ACACAUGCAGUCGAGGGGUAGAGUUCUUCGGAACUUGAGACCGGCGCACGGGUGCGUAACGCGUAUGCAAUCUACCUUUUACAGAGGGAUAGCCCAGAGAAAUUUGGAUUAAUACCUCAUAGUAUAGCUGUAUCGCAUGAUACUACUAUUAAAGUCACAACGGUAAAAGAUGAGCAUGCGUCCCAUUAGCUAGUUGGUAAGGUAACGGCUUACCAAGGCUACGAUGGGUAGGGGUCCUGAGAGGGAGAUCCCCCACACUGGUACUGAGACACGGACCAGACUCCUACGGGAGGCAGCAGUGAGGAAUAUUGGACAAUGGGCGCAAGCCUGAUCCAGCCAUGCCGCGUGCAGGAUGACGGUCCUAUGGAUUGUAAACUGCUUUUAUACGAGAAGAAACAUCCCGACGUGUCGGGACUUGACGGUAUCGUAAGAAUAAGGAUCGGCUAACUCCGUGCCAGCAGCCGCGGUAAUACGGAGGAUCCAAGCGUUAUCCGGAAUCAUUGGGUUUAAAGGGUCCGUAGGCGGUUUAAUAAGUCAGUGGUGAAAGCCCAUCGCUCAACGGUGGAACGGCCAUUGAUACUGUUAAACUUGAAUUAUUAGGAAGUAACUAGAAUAUGUAGUGUAGCGGUGAAAUGCUUAUAGAUUACAUGGAAUACCAAUUGCGAAGGCAGGUUACUACUAAUGGAUUGACGCUGAUGGACGAAAGCGUGGGUAGCGAACAGGAUUAGAUACCCUGGUAGUCCACGCCGUAAACGAUGGAUACUAGCUGUUGGGAGCAAUUUCAGUGGCUAAGCGAAAGUGAUAAGUAUCCCACCUGGGGAGUACGUUCGCAAGAAUGAAACUCAUAGGAA
rnacentral:rRNA from 1 species